AGAGUUUGAUCCUGGCUCAGAUUGAACGCUGGCGGCAUGCCUUACACAUGCAAGUCGAACGGUAACAGCACUUCGGUGGCUGACGAGUGGCGAACGGGUGAGUAAUACAUCGGAACGUGCCCGAGAGUGGGGGAUAAUGCAGCGAAAGCUGUGCUAAUACCGCAUACGAUCUACGGAUGAAAGCAGGGGACCGCAAGGCCUUGCGCUCACGGAGCGGCCGAUGGCAGAUUAGGUAGUUGGUGGGAUAAAAGCUUACCAAGCCGACGAUCUGUAGCUGGUCUGAGAGGACGACCAGCCACACUGGGACUGAGACACGGCCCAGACUCCUACGGGAGGCAGCAGUGGGGAAUUUUGGACAAUGGGCGAAA
rnacentral:rRNA from 1 species